GCGGCUCCGCCUUCCCUGGCUGCGUCAGAGCUGGGACCCCCAGAGGGGCAGUUGGGGGCACUGGCUGGCACCCUGCCGGGGUAAGAGGGGCAGCACAGUGACGGGGUGAGGGGCAGGAUCUGGGCAGGAACGGGCGGAGCCAACAGCUGCUUCCGGUCACUGGAGCCUCCCUGAGCUGCAACAUCCAGGUAUCACCUCAGGUGGGAUUACCCAGAGAGCACCG